rnacentral:ncRNA from 2 species
ACUUGUUCUCAGGGCGGGGUGAAAGUCCCUACUGGCGGUAUCCAGUUCACACUGGGAGCCCGCGAGCGCUCCUUAUUAUAUAGGAGGACAGCAGAUCUGGUGAAAAGCCAGGGCCAACGGUAUAGUCCGGAUGAAAGAGGAUAAGG